rnacentral:rRNA from 1 species
AUUGAACGCUGGCGGCAGGCCUAACACAUGCAAGUCGAACGAGUGGCGGACGGGUGAGUAAUGUCUGGGAAACUGCCUGAUGGAGGGGGAUAACUACUGGAAACGGUAGCUAAUACCGCAUACCAUCAGAUGUGCCCAGACGGGAUUAGCUAGUAGGUGGGGUAAUGGCUCACCUAGGCGACGAUCCCUAUCUGGUCUGAGAGGAUAACCAGCGACACUGGAACUGAGACGCGGUCUAGACUCCUAGGGGAGGCAGCAGUGGGGAAUAUUGCACAAUGGGCGAAAGCCUGAUGCAGCAAUGCCGCGUGUGUGAAGAAGGCCUUCGGGUUGUAAAGCACUUUCAGCGAGGAGGCGUUACUCGGAGAAGAAGCACCGGCUAACUCCGUGCCAGCAGCCACGGUAAUUC